GAAGAUGAGACGGCCAAAGAUGAGAAGGCCAAAGAUUGCGAGCGACUAGUACAAAAGAAGGAAAGAGUUUGAAAUAGGUGCUGAACGUGUGGAGCUAUCCAUGGUUCUGAAUCCGACUCAGCAGUUGGCAACUCUUCUCUGCCUACAACCAACCAGGGACAAUAGAACUACAAACUCAGAUGUGAAAACUAAAGGUGAAAAGGGUUAAGAAACUUAACCAAGAUUUCAUAGCUAGCAUGUGGCAGA
rnacentral:lncRNA from 1 species